rnacentral:tRNA from 1 species
GGUAGAUGCCUAAAGUAUACCGGCCUCUCGAGCCGGUGAUCCCGGGUUCAAAUCCCGGCC